rnacentral:rRNA from 1 species
GGAGGAUCCGAGCGUUAUCCGGAUUUAUUGGGUUUAAAGGGAGCGUAGGUGGACUGGUAAGUCAGUUGUGAAAGUUUGCGGCUCAACCGUAAAAUUGCAGUUGAUACUGGUUUCCUUGAGUGCAGUUGAGGCAGGCGGAAUUCGUGGUGUANCGGUGAAAUGCUUAGAUAUCACGAAGAACCCCGAUUGCGAAGGCAGCUUGCUAAACUGUAACUGACGUUCAUGCUCGAAAGUGUGGGUAUCAAACAGGAUUAGAUACCCUGGUAGUCCACACGGUAAACGAUGGAUACUCGCUGUUGGCGAUAUACUGUCAGCGGCCAAGCGAAAGCAUUAAGUAUCCCACCUGGGGAGU